AGGGCGCAUGGUGAAUGCCUUGGCAUCAGGAGCCGAUGAAGGACGUGAUAAGCUGCGAUAAGCUUCGGGUAGGCGCACAUAGCCUGAGAUCCGAAGAUCUCCGAAUGAGGAAACUCACAUGGGAAACCCCAUGUAUCAUUAAGUGAAUACAUAGCUUAAUGAAGGUAACCCAGGGAACUGAAACAUCUAAGUACCUGGAGGAAGAGAAAGAAAAAUCGAUUUUCUUAGUAGCGGCGAGCGAAAGGGAAAGAGCCCAAACCGGAAACUUGUUUCCGGGGUUGUGGACAUGACAUAAAAGUGGAGGCUAUUGUAACUGAAGAGAACUGGAAAGUUCCACCGUAGAAGGUAAUAGUCCUGUAAGUGAAACGAGAAGACCACGAGUUAUGAUCCAGAGUACCACGAGACACGUGAAACCUUGUGGGAAGCUGGGAGGACCACCUCCCAAGGCUAAAUACUACCUGAUGACCGAUAGUGAAGCAGUACCGUGAGGGAAAGGUGAAAAGAACCCCGGGAGGGGAGUGAAAUAGAACCUGAAACCGUGUGCCUACAACCGCUCAGAGCCCCUUAUGAGGGUGAUGAGGUGCUUUUUGUAGAACGAGCCAACGAGUUACGGUAUGUAGCAAGGUUAAGUACUUAAGGUACGGAGCCGAAGGGAAACCGAGUCUGAAUAGGGCGACUAGUUGCAUGCCGUAGACCCGAAACCGGGUGACCUAUCCAUGGCCAGGUUGAAGCGAGGGUAAAACCUCGUGGAGGACCGAACCACGUUGCUGUUGAAAAAGCAUGGGAUGAGCUGUGGAUAGCGGAGAAAUUCCAAUCGAACCCGGAGAUAGCUGGUUCUCUCCGAAAUAGCUUUAGGGCUAGCGUCGAGUAUGAGUAGUGGAGGUAGAGCACUGAAUGGGCUAGGGGGCAUAGCGCUUACCGAACCUUAUCAAACUCCGAAUGCCACAUACUUUGAGCUCGGCAGUCAGACUACGAAUGAUAAGAUCCGUGGUCAAAAGGGAAACAGCCCAGAUCGUCAGCUAAGGUCCCAAAGUGUAAGUUAAGUGGGAAAGGAUGUGAGAUUUCUAAGACAACUAGGAUGUUGGCUUAGAAGCAGCCAUUCAUUAAAAGAGUGCGUAAUAGCUCACUAGUCGAGAGAUCUUGCGCCGAAAAUGUAACGGGGCUAAACUUACCACCGAAGCUACGGGCUUGAACUUAGUUCAAGCGGUAGGAGAGCGUCGUAACCGGGCUGAAGUCGUACCGUAAGGAGCGGUGGACUGGUUACGAGUGAGAAUGUUGGCAUCAGUAGCGAGAUGUGGGUGAGAAUCCCACAGGCCGAAAACCUAAGGUUUCCUCAGGAAGGUUCGUCCGCUGAGGGUUAGUCGGGACCUAAGCCGAGGCCGAAAGGCGUAGGUGAUGGACAACUGGUUGAUAUUCCAGUACCACUACCAUCGUUAUUAUCGAUGGCGUGACGCAGGAGGAUAGUGUGUGCUAGCUAUUGGAUGCUAGUCUAAGCGUUUAGGCAGUGAGAGUAGGCAAAUCCGCUCUCAUAAUGCUGAGGCGUGAUGGGGAAGGUUCUACGGAACCGAAGUACAUGAUUCCACGCUGCCAAGAAAAGCGUCUAGAGAGAGAAGUAGUGCCCGUACCGCAAACCGACACAGGUAGGUGAGGAGAGAAUCCUAAGGCCGGCGGAAGAAUUACAGUUAAGGAACUCGGCAAAUUGACCCCGUAAGUUCGCGAGAAGGGGUGCCUACGAGAGUAGGCCGCAGAGAAUAGGCCCAAGCAACUGUUUAGCAAAAACACAGGUCUCUGCUAAAGCGUAAGCUGAUGUAUAGGGGCUGACGCCUGCCCGGUGCUGGAAGGUUAAGGGGAACACUUAGCGCAAGCGAAGGUGUGAACUUAAGCCCCAGUAAACGGCGGCCGUAACUAUAACGGUCCUAAGGUAGCGAAAUUCCUUGUCAGGUAAGUUCUGACCCGCACGAAUGGCGUAAUGACUUGGGCACUGUCUCAACUGUAAAUCCGGCGAAGUUGUAGUGCGAGUGAAGAUGCUCGCUACCCGCGAUUGGACGGAAAGACCCCGUAGAGCUUUACUGUAGCUUAGCAUUGAGUUUUGGUAUUGUCUGUACAGGAUAGGUGGGAGACUAGGAAACCAGGGCGUCAGCCUUGGUGGAGUCAACCUUGGGAUACCACCCUGACAGUACUGAAAUUCUAACUGGCGGCCAUGAAUCUGGUCACAGGACAUUGUUAGGUGGGCAGUUUGACUGGGGCGGUCGCCUCCUAAAAAGUAACGGAGGCGCCCAAAGGUUCCCUCAGAACGGUCGGAAAUCGUUCGAAGAGUGCAAAGGCAGAAGGGAGCCUGACUGCGACACCCACAAGUGGAGCAGGGACGAAAGUCGGGCUUAGUGAUCCGGUGGUACCUCGUGGGAGGGCCAUCGCUCAACGGAUAAAAGCUACCUCGGGGAUAACAGGCUGAUCUCCCCCAAGAGUCCACAUCGACGGGGAGGUUUGGCACCUCGAUGUCGGCUCGUCGCAUCCUGGGGCUGUAGUCGGUCCCAAGGGUUGGGCUGUUCGCCCAUUAAAGCGGCACGCGAGCUGGGUUCAGAACGUCGUGAGACAGUUCGGUCCCUAUCCGUCGCGGGCGUAGGAAAUUUGAGAGGAGCUGUCCUUAGUACGAGAGGACCGGGAUGGACUGACCUCUGGUGUACCAGUUGUUCCGCCAGGAGCACAGCUGGGUAGCUAAGUCGGGAAUGGAUAAACGCUGAAAGCAUCUAAGCGUGAAGCCAACCUCAAGAUGAGAUUUCCCAUAGCGUAAGCUAGUAAGAUCCCUUGA
rnacentral:rRNA from 1 species